GUGCCUCGGGACGCAGCAGUGGGGAAUAUUGCACAAUGGGGGAAACCCUGAUGCAGCAACGCCGCGUGAAGGAAGAAGGGUUUCGGCUCGUAAACUUCUAUCGAUAGGGACGAAAGAGAUGACGGUACCUAAAUAAGAAGCCCCGGCUAACUACGUGCCAGCAGCCGCGGUAAUACGUAGGGGGCAAGCGUUAUCCGGAAUUACUGGGUGUAAAGGGAGCGUAGACGGCGAUGCAAGCCAGGAGUGAAAGCCCGGGGCCCAACC
rnacentral:rRNA from 1 species